GAUUAUCUAAUAUAUAAUAGUAUGACUAGCUUCCACCUAGUUUGUCCUACCAGGGGUAAUUA
rnacentral:tRNA from 1 species